rnacentral:lncRNA from 1 species
AUGUUUUGGAGGCUCGAAUACUUUUUUCUCUGUUUUGCGGUGCUUGGGUUAUUCGCGGCCCCCAUCAGCUGUGCCGAGAAGCGGAGCGGUAUUGUCUAUACACGCGACCAGCUGAUGGCUCUAAGACCACCAUCCUUUGUGGUCGGAGAGAAGCCCCAAAUCCCUAAGGAGGUGAGGAGGAAACAACGAGGGACUAAGGCUGGAGUUAAACAGAGGAUGAAGAGGCGACGUUUUAAACCCUGCGUCCCCGCGGUCAUAACGGGGAAUGUCAGGUCCCUGGCGAAUAAGAUGGACGAGCUGGAGGCGCUCACACGGACCCAGCGGGAGUACAGAGAGGCCAGUAUCAUGUGUUUCACGGAGACGUGGCUCCAUGGACUGAUACCGGACUCUAAUGUGACGAUCGCUGGUUUCACCACUGUGCGAGCGGACCGAGACACCACCGCGGCCGGUAAGAAGAAAGGAGGGGGACUGGCCGUGUUCGUUAGCAACAGGUGGUGCAACCCGGAGCAUAUUCACGUCAAGGAGCGCGUGUGCAGUCCCGACGUGGAACUUAUUGCUAUCGGACUCCGUCCAUACUAUUUGCCACGGGAGUUUACUAACGUCAUCGCCAUCACCGUUUAUAUUCCUCCGACCGGUAAAGCGGACUCGGCCUGUGACGUCAUCCACUCUGUCACGGCUGACCUGCAGACUAAACAUCCCGGAGCCUUUAUCCUCAUCACAGGGGACUUCAAUCAUGCCUCCCUUAAGUCCACUCUCCCUACAUUCCACCAGUAUGUCCAGUGCAGCACGAGAGACAGGAAGACUUUGGAUCUACUGUAUGCUAAUGUCACCAGUGCAUACACCUCCACUGCACUCCCUCCGCUAGGCAAGUCUGACCACAAUCUCGUGCUGCUCUCCCCAUCAUACACACCUGUGGUUCAGCAGCAACCAGUCACUGUGAGGACUGUUAUGAAAUGGUCUGAUGGUGCCAUGGACUGUCUGCGGGAUGCCCUGGAGACCACCAACUGGUCUGCUCUCUGUGAACCACAUGGUGAGGACCUGGAUGGACUGACAGACUGUGUUUCCGACUACAUCAAGUUCUGCACUGAGAACUCCGUCCCCACCAAGAAGGUACGCUGUUACCCAAACAACAAACCAUGGGUGACAAGUGACCUGAAGGCCCUUUUGAAUAAGAAGAAGAGGGCCUUCACUGCUGGGGACCCGGCUGAGCUCAGGAGUGUACAGAAGGAACUGAAACGCAGUCUGAAGGAGAGCAAGUACGCCUACAGGAAGAAGCUGGAGGAGAGACUGGAGAGGAACCAGACCAGGGAUGUUUGGAGUGGGAUGAGGACGAUCACUGGCUUCCAGAAGAAAGGAAUACGCUCAGCUGAUGGGAACGUGGACCAAGCCAAUGAGUUGAACCAGUUUUUCAACAGGUUUGACUCUAGCUCCCCCUCCCCCAGCUGUCCCAAUAUUCCUCUGGAUAACAAUGGGUCCCCUUCACACCUCCCAGAGCCCCUAACACCUCUGCCAACUUCUUCCCCCUCCCCCCUGCUGACACCCUACAUGGAUCCCAGCAUGUCACCCAUCCCCCCGACAGGACUAUCCUUCACGUCUGGCCAGGUGAGGAGAGAGCUGGAGAGGCUCAACCAGAGAAAGGCUGCCGGACCGGACGGCAUCAGCCCACGAGUGCUGAGGAACUGCUCCAGGCAGCUGUGUGGGAUACUGCAGCACCUGUUCAACCAGAGCCUUCAUCUUCAGAGGAUCCCAGUGCUUUGGAAGACAUCCUGCCUGGUCCCGGUGCCAAAGAAGACCCAUCCUGUGGCACCGAGUGACUACAGGCCAAUAGCACUGACCUCCCACAUUAUGAAGGUCAUGGAGCGGCUGGUGCUGUCACACCUCAGACCUCUGGUGAGCCCCUUUCAGGACCCUCUGCAGUUUGCCUAUCAGCCCAAGGUGGGGGUUGAUGACGCAGUGAUAUACCUGCUGCAGAGGGCUUACUCCUCCUUGGACAGACUAAACACCACAGUGCGGGUCAUGUUCUUCGACUUCUCUUCUGCCUUCAAUACCAUCCAGCCAAGACUGCUGAGGGCGAAGUUGGAGAAGAUGCAGAUGGAUGCUCCCCUUGUUUCUUGGAUCGAGGACUACCUGACAGGUCGGCCACAGUUUGUGAGACUGCGGAGCUGUGUGUCCGACCCCCUGAUGAGCAACACAGGAGCUCCUCAAGGAACUGUGCUCUCCCCAUUCCUGUUCACCACCUACACAGCCGACUUCCAGUACCACUCUGAGACAUGUCAUCUCCAGAAGUACUCGGAUGACACAGUCAUAGUCGGGUGUGUGGAGAAUGGACAGGAGGAUGAAUACAGGGACCUUGUGGAGAGUUUUGUCAGGUGGAGCAGGGAGAACCUUCUGCAGCUCAACGUGACCAAGACGAAGGAGAUGGUGGUGGAUUUCAGAAAAAGCAAGUCCCCACCCUCCCCAGUCUGCAUCAGUGGGAAGGACGUGGAAAUAGUCCCAUCUUACAGGUUCCUGGGUGUUCAGCUGGACAAUAAACUGGAGUGGUCCACAAACACCGAUGCUGUCUACAAGAAGGCCAUGAGCAGACUCUAUUUCCUCAGGAGACUCAGGUCCUUCAGUGUUUGCAGCAGGAUGCUCCAGAUGUUCUACCAGUCUGUUAUGGCUAGCACCAUCUUCUUUGCUGCAGUGUGCUGGGGUGCAGGCAUUAAAGCAAAGGAUGCCAACAGACUCAACAAACUCAUCAAAAAGGCAGGGUCUGUUGUUGGCUGUAGACUUGAUAACUUGGACGAGGUGGUGAGGGACAGGAUGGUGUUGAAACUGCGGACAAUCAUGGACAGUCCCUCCCACCCCCUCCAUAACACAGUGGACAAACUGAGGAGCAGCUUCAGCAACAGACUCCUGCAGCCUCGCUGCUCCAAGGAACGGUACAGGAAGUCAUUCCUGCCGUCCGCCAUUAAACUGUACAAUUCACUCAAACCAACUCAACAAUAA